CAGUAGCCGCGGUAAUACGUAGGGUGCGAGCGUUAAUCGGAAUUACUGGGCGUAAAGCGUGCGCAGGCGGUUCGCUAAGACAGAUGUGAAAUCCCCGGGCUUAACCUGGGAACUGCAUUUGUGACUGGCGAGCUAGAGUAUGGCAGAGGGGGGUAGAAUUCCACGUGUAGCAGUGAAAUGCGUAGAGAUGUGGAGGAAUACCGAUGGCGAAGGCAGCCCCCUGGGCCAAUACUGACGCUCAUGCACGAAAGCGUGGGGAGCAAACAGGAUUAGAUACCCCAGUAGUCCCUGUCUCUUAUAC
rnacentral:rRNA from 1 species